rnacentral:rRNA from 1 species
CGUACACUCCUGCGGGAGGCAGCAGUGGGGAAUAUUGGACAAUGGGCGCAAGCCUGAUCCAGCCAUGCCGCGUGAGUGAUGAAGGCCCUAGGGUUGUAAAGCUCUUUCACCGGAGAAGAUAAUGACGGUAUCCGGAGAAGAAGCCCCGGCUAACUUCGUGCCAGCAGCCGCGGUAAUACGAAGGGGGCUAGCGUUGUUCGGAAUUACUGGGCGUAAAGCGCACGUAGGCGGAUCGAUCAGUCAGGGGUGAAAUCCCAGGGCUCAACCCUGGAACUGCCUUUGAUACUGUCGAUCUGGAGUAUGGAAGAGGUGAGUGGAAUUCCGAGUGUAGAGGUGAAAUUCGUAGAUAUUCGGAGGAACACCAGUGGCGAAGGCGGCUCACUGGUCCAUUACUGACGCUGAGGUGCGAAAGCGUGGGGAGCAAACAGGAUUAGAUACCCGGGUAGUCCCAUGAU